GGUUGUCCUACCUUGCACAACUUUUGGGUGGUACUAGCUACUGCUUGCCAGGAACACCCCACAAGACUUGCCAUAUUGGAAUUGCUCUGAUCUAGCCAUCACUAUUUUUCCCUUUGCAAACGUAUUGAGAUUCUUUUGCUUUCCCAUUUUUCCUGCUUAUACCAACACAUGGAAUUCAAGAACUGAAUUUUCACUUGCUGCAAUAUAUAUUCCACAACUUAAAAGGUGCCAUUGUAACAAUAUAAUCAAUGUUAUUCACUUCACCUGUGAAUGGUUUUCAUGUUGUGCCUGAUCAGUAUCCCAAAAAUAUUAGCACCCACAAGAGUUG